ACUCCUACGGGAGGCAGCAGUGGGGAAUAUUGCACAAUGGGGGAAACCCUGAUGCAGCCAUGCCGCGUGUGUGAAGAAGGCCUUCGGGUUGUAAAGCACUUUCAGUAGGGAGGAAGGUAGUGUAGUUAACACCUGCACUAUUUGUACGUUACCUACAGAAGAAGCACCGGCUAACUCCGUGCCAGCAGCCGCGGUAAUACGGAGGGUGCGAGCGUUAAUCGGAAUUACUGGGCGUAAAGCGCAUGCAGGCGGCCUGUUAAGUCAGAUGUGAAAGCCCGGGGUCUUAACCUCGGAAUUGCAUUUGAAACUGGCAGGCUAGAGUCUUGUAGAGGGGGUUAGAAUUUCGAGGUGUAGCGGUGAAAUGCGUAGAGAUCUGAAGGAAUACCAGUGGCGAA
rnacentral:rRNA from 1 species